AAUCCCAACUCUCUCAAAACAAAUGGCGCUGAAACGAAAAUCUCAAAACCCUUGCGCUGAAACGAAAUCCCCAAAAUGAAAAUUUCAAAACCCGCUGAAACGAAAUCCUCCAAAAUGAAAUUCCGAUAUCCCUAGCAAUUAGUCGGCUCUCUCUCUCUCUCUCUCUCUCUCUCUCUCACGUCGACGCAAGGGUUAGGGUUUGCUGCUGUUCGAGCUGAGACAGCUUCUAUCUCGACGCACCACUGGUCCACCACCGACGACCACCCCAAAACUGCCCCACCACCACCAACGCACUACCACCACGAUCUCCUCUCUUCUCUCUUCUCCAUCUCUCACACUGUCCACUCAUCGCAUCACCACAGACGAGCAACCCCAAACCCGUCCCUACCACCACCGACGGGCAACCCCAAACCAGACCCUACCACCACCGACGCACCCCACCAUCUCUUCUCCCUCACAGGCCAUCAAGUGAUAAUAAUGAUGCUAGGCGUGCAUCCUCAGCAGCAGCAACAAAUAUUGUAAAAGCAUAGGGUUUCUGCACAAGGGAAGCUACCUUUGUUGAAAUGCAUUGCUAGCUGUUUGAAAUUGGGUGUUGUGUUUAUAGUGCAUAUUAAAAAUCUCUCUGCUUAUUGUAGCUUUGUUUGAAAUUGUUAUGAUUUUUGGCAAUGGAGUCCUGACACCCAUAGGUGUGGUAUGGAAAUUCUCUACAGUUAGUGCUAGAGCUUUACUAAAAUAGCGAGCACCAAUGUUAGGCACUUACCUAUUAGCUUUUGUUUUUUUUUAAAUGUUUGGAAAGAGCAUUCAAUUUUGUAUUUCGAUGAAGAUAUAGCCUUCAAUUUCUAGCCUCUUUUUUGAAUGAAACUAAGAAAUUUUGUUAAUUUGUGUUAGUCUCCCUAUGAAGUUUGGUAUUAUUUUCUUAUUGUUUGAUAUACAUCUCUCUUCCUUAUCUAUUGUACUUGAUUCUCUUCAGUUUGUCUAAUGUGUUCCUUUCUUUUGUGUUGAAUGCUCAUGGUCUCUCUUUUUUCCCCUAAUUUAACAAUAUAAUUGCUCGCACGUUUUUGGCUUGUUGCUCUUCAAUUGGAAUGCGUCGUUUUACUUUGCAAGGCUUUUUUGUAGCAGUUUGAUCUAGAAGAGCUUCCGAGUACACUGGUUGAGAAGGAAGCAAGUUAUGGUCAUUAGUCCCAUACACUAGCUGUAUACACGGUUUUUCUCUAGACUCUUCUUCUACACGGCUGUACAGUCCAUUGAAAGAACAAACAUAUAUAGUUAAAAUCUUGAAGGAAAAAAAGAUUAAUAAAAUAGAUUAGACCACUAUUUAUACCAAUGGUUAAAUCAACAUUCACAAAAACUCAAUGCUAUGAUGCUCAUGUAAGUUCUAAAAGCAGAGAAUGCGAGAGAUUUAUUUGCUGUUGAAUAGGAAAAGAUAACUCGUGGUAAGAGACGGUUGUAAUGGCCCCUUUGAUCAGGCUUCUCCACACGCACAUCAAAGAUCAUCGCACGCAAGUCAUGAGACUCAUGACAUCGAAUGUUCUAAUGGAGGUAACAGGACGGUCUAGCUAAAAGCGUGAUUUCAACCCGUCAUUUUGAAAGCUCUUUGGGAAGAUGUUAAGGAUGAUGAACUAUGAAAUCACUUUUUGGCAGAAUGGAGCAUGGAGUCACUUUUUGCAGUCGUUCAGAACUAACUUGGACUUGGUUAUAGCUUGGAGUAUGAAGUCCACUUUUUGCUACUUUAUCAUGGACUUUACCUAGUAUUUAUUGUUUUGGAUGUGGUGUUACUAAACACAUAUUGGAAAACAAGUAUAUUGUGGAAUUUGUUGUUUUUGGGAUGGUUGAUGAUUGUUGCUUUUGAGAAACAUAUAUAUUAUGUGGUUAUUAAUGUUGUGAAGGAUUUUAUUGUUAA